rnacentral:rRNA from 1 species
AUGCCGCCGAAGCCGCACGCCGCCGGCGGUGGCGCCUACGAGUACUGCGAGCUGUGCCGCCGCAACCACGACCAGGGCCGGCGCCACCGCUACUUCCCCGCCCACCGCGCCGCCCUCGCCGCCGCGCUCUCCGGCUUCCGCGCCAAGCUCGCCGACCUCCGCCGCGCGCUCCUCCGCCCCUCCACGCCUGGCCCCCGCUCCCGCCUCUGGUGCCCCUUCUGCUCCGCCGACCUCGUCGACCUCGACAGCCGCUUCGCCUGCAGCAAUGCGAUUUACCACCUCGCGAGCGAGGAGCACCUGAAGGGCGUCAAGGAUUUCCUGCGGAAGCAUGGGGGCGGGAUGGAUCAGGUCGAUUUGUUUAGGAUCUCAGAGGAUGAGCUUGCAAAGUGGGAGAAGGGCUGUGAGUCUUCCGGUACUGAAGCACAGGCAUUGGCCGAUGGCAUGAUUGGACCAUCUCUGGGGCCGUUGAAAGAUAUCCAAAAUGAAUCUACCUCUAAAAUUUCGGAUAGUUUUGCUGAAACUGACAUCCCAUCUUUUCAUAAUACUGCAUCUUGUGUUGUUAUGCCUUUACAAAGUCCUACCAAUGGGGCCUAUUACCCCACUAGUACAGCGUGUUACGGAUCUUCCACCUCUGGAAGUGUUGCUUAUUCUGCUCCAUUUGGUACUUCCGGACUGCCUGUCAAACCCUGUGUCACAACACAUGGACAUCAGGGGAUGCCGAGCACAAACAUGUUUCAUAGUGCUGAUGCACAAAUGAAAGGUGCUCAAUCUACUUCCCUCGGAAAUGGACCAAAUCCACCGGCUUCUUCUUUUGUAUAUGUCCAACAGGGCCACUCUGGAGGGAAAUUCAAUCAGGGCCUGAAAGCAAAUGUGCAUACUGGUGCUCCUCCUCCAUGGUUAGAAGCUAGUGAGCAUGAUCCAAAGAAUGUGUCACUCGCCAGCUAUGCUCUUCCAUCUUCUCUGAAAGGAAAAUCAAGAAAACUUAACCCAAAGCGUGUUGGAGCUGCAUGGGCAGAGAGAAGAAGAGCUGAAAUGGAAAUGGAAAAGCGAGGUGAAGCCGUUCCAGAAACGCCUGAUGCUAGUUGGCUCCCUAAUUUUGGUGGUGUCUGGCAAUCUGGUUCGCGAAAGGAAUCGAGGAAAGAGUUUGAGAAAAAUCAUAAGCUUAAAGAGGAGAACAAUCCUGAGUUACUCACUGAGAUAAAACCAUAUAUCAGCAAAAGGAUGCGUGUAGGCUCUAAUAAAGAUGGACAACCGGACAGCACUGUAGAAUAG